UUCCAGUUUGCGCUUAAUCUCCAUUUGGAGAGCGGGGGAACCGAUUGCGGGAAUAUGUACCGCAUUUUGAAUUCUUCAGGGGUGAAUUUCGGAGCCUUUGCCAUGAGCAUUGUGUAACGAAUAGGGCGACUCUCUUGCCCGAAUCCGUCAGCUAACCUCGUAAGCGAUUAUAGAGAGUGAUC
rnacentral:sRNA from 2 species